rnacentral:rRNA from 1 species
GCUGGCGGCAGGCUUAACACAUGCAAGUCGAACGGUAGCAGGAAGAAAGCUUGCUUUCUUUGCUGACGAGUGGCGGACGGGUGAGUAAUGCUUGGGAAUCUGGCUUAUGGAGGGGGAUAACUGUGGGAAACUGCAGCUAAUACCGCGUAAUCUCUGAGGAGUAAAGGGUGGGACCUAUUGGCCACCUGCCAUAAGAUGAGCCCAAGUGGGAUUAGGUAGUUGGUGGGGUAAAGGCCUACCAAGCCUGCGAUCUCUAGCUGGUCUGAGAGGAUGACCAGCCACACUGGAACUGAGACACGGUCCAGACUCCUACGGGAGGCAGCAGUGGGGAAUAUUGCGCAAUGGGGGGAACCCUGACGCAGCCAUGCCGCGUGAAUGAAGAAGGCCUUCGGGUUGUAAAGUUCUUUCGGUAAUGAGGAAGGGAUGUUGUUUAAUAGAUAGCAUCAUUGACGUUAAUUACAGAAGAAGCACCGGCUAACUCCGUGCCAGCAGCCGCGGUAAUACGGAGGGUGCGAGCGUUAAUCGGAAUAACUGGGCGUAAAGGGCACGCAGGC